rnacentral:ncRNA from 1 species
CAUAAAAAUUAUCCAUUUUUAACAUAAUAAUGGAAGUGUAAGCUAAGAGACAGUUUUAGGUAGACAAUUUCUAUGGGACGUAGGCCUUCCAAGAGGCAACAGAGGCAUGCAGAGGUUUCCUUGGACCGAACGAAGAUUGGCUCUUAAGUGCAAAGGUAGAAGGAAGCUUGACUGCAAGACCCACCUAUCAAGCAGGGACGAAAUUCGGCCUUAGUGAUCCGAUGGUGCCAAGUGGAAGGGUUGUCACUCAACAGAUAAAAGUUACUUUAAGAAUAAUAAGUUGAUCUUCCCCAAAAGCUCACAUCAACAAGAAGGUUUGGCACUUCAAUGUCGACUCUUCGCUGCCUAAAAUUGUAGUAUGUUCCAAGGGUUAAUUGGAUUGUUCACCCAUUAAAACAAACUUUAAAAUGCAUAUUAGAAAAAUUUAG